rnacentral:misc_RNA from 1 species
UCUCCGUUGGUGAACCAGCGGAGGGAUCAUUACAGAGUUUUCACAACUCCCAACCCUUGCGAACCGUACCCAUUCUGUUCUCGUUGCUUCCGGCGGGGGGGACGGGGGGGCCCGAAACUGCCUCCCCGCCCCGCCCGCCGGGGGCGGCGGGCCGUACGACCCUUUAUAUCUUAACCCCCAGGAACCGGGUUAUAAAAGAAACAAAAUAAACAAAACUUUCAACAACGGAGCACUUUGCGCUUGCAUAGAUGAAGAAUGAAGCAGAUUGGAAGAGCACAC